rnacentral:rRNA from 1 species
UGCGUAGGUGGCGCCGUAAGUCGGGUGUGAAAUUUCGGAGCUUAACUCCGAAACUGCAUUCGAUACUGCGGUGCUUGAGGACUGGAGAGGAGACUGGAAUUCAUGGUGUAGCAGUGAAAUGCGCAGAGAUCAUGAGGAAGACCAGUGGCGAAGGCGGGUCUCUGGACAGUUCCUGACACUGAGGCACGAAGGCCAGGGGAGCAAACG